AACUCUCAGCUUGAGGCAGAACUGAGCACAUUUGAGCAGGGGAAUCUUUGCCUCAUGCCGCUCUCCAGUCUGCUCUGGGUGUUUCUGGCCUUCACUUUCUCCGGAUCUGGUGUGGCGCAGAAAGUUAUUCAAGACCAGCCAGAUGUAUCCAGCCAAGUGGGGCAGUCAGUCACCCUGAACUGUCGGUAUGAAACAAGUUGGAGCGCUUACUACCUUUAUUGGUACAAGCAACUUCCCAGUGGACAGAUGACUUACGUUAUUCGUCAAGGUUCGGAAGUCACAAAUGCAAGGAAAGACCGCUACUCUGUAAACUUUAAGAAAGCAGAUAAAUCCUUCAACCUCACCAUUUCAGCCUUACAACUGGAAGACUCUGCAAAGUACUUCUGUGCUCUCUCUGAACUCACAGUGCUUGAAGUAAUAGGAAAAGCUGUACAAAAACCCCGGAGCUUAGAUGUGACGAAAACAGGGCAGGAAGACCUAGACAAGGAACUGCUUGAUCAUUGGCUGACAGAUCCUGGCAACAACACACUGCAACAGAUAGGUGCACUGGUUGUACGUCUCUAA